rnacentral:rRNA from 1 species
AUUGAACGCUGGCGGCAGGCCUAACACAUGCAAGUCGAACGGUAACAGGAAGAAGCUUGCUUCUUUGCUGACGAGUGGCGGACGGGUGAGUCAUGUCUGGGAAACUGCCUGAUGGAGGGGGAUAACUACUGGAAACGGUAGCUAAUACCGCAUAACGUCUCAAGACCAAAGAGGGGGACCUUCGGGCCUCUUGCCAUCGGAUGUUCCCAGAUGGGAUUAGCUAGUAGGUGGGGUAACGGCUCACCUAGGCGACGAUCCCUAGCUGGUCUGAGAGGAUGACCAGCCACACUGGAACUGAGACACGGUCCAGACUCCUACGGGAGGCAGCAGUGGGGAAUAUUGCACAAUGGGCGCAAGCCUGAUGCAGCCAUGCCGCGUGUAUGAAGAAGGCCUUCGGGUUGUAAAGUACUUUCAGCGGGGAGGAAGGGAGUAAAGUUAAUACCUUUGCUCAUUGACGUUACCCGCAGAAGAAGCACCGGCUAACUCCGUG